GGAGUCAAUGAUAUUGUCUAUAUAGAGAUGUUUAUUAAAGAUUUUCGUUGGUAUAUUAAUAAUUUUAUAUUUAAUAGGAGAGAGACUCCAUGAAGAUCAGGUUCUGGAUUAUUAAGCCGGUGCGAGGAGGUGACCAUGUUGAGAUCGGAGAUUCAUACUUUAGCUGAGAGUUAUGCUCCUGUCCUCCCUCUGGUUAUACCUUUAUUUAAGAAAACGGUACCUACAC
rnacentral:lncRNA from 1 species